rnacentral:sRNA from 1 species
CCCAAUUUUCCAUCUGGGGACCCGACCCGCUCGUCCGGCGAACUUUGUGCACAAAAAUUUACGAGAUCGAAUACUGGCCGGGCCCCAUCUUUACUGCACCAAUAUCAUCUCUUCUUCCAUCAAGCUUUUGCCAGGCGAUUAUUUACAUUGCCUGCGAGCAAAUGCUCCUCUAUGGACCAAGCUGUCUUAAAUAUUUCAUCACUGAGCAUACUGUACUAGGCCAUCAGUAUUGACAACCCCACUACAAUCAUGGUGCUUUUUGCAGCAGAAAAGUAGUGGGGGGUACCUUGGGCAAUCUACCAAUAUCAGACAUAUUACCCCUCUCUGCCCGAUUUUCGUGAAGAGAAGCAUUGUUCAAGAAAUCAAAAUCAAUUGACCAAUACAAAGCAAUGGAUGACAAACGAAAGCUAUUAAUAAAAGCAAUUUCCCUAACACUGGCAGUCCUUUUGCUUCUUCUCUCUGUGCCCAUCAUAAUUGUUUACCUUUGUUACUUUCC